GGGGGGACUCAGGGAAUUGUGGGGGAUCGUCGUCAAAGUGAAGACGCCAUUCCCUCGCUGCAAAAAAUCUAUAAAAUAAUCCAGGAUUAAUCAACAAUGGCAAAGCCAGUAGCGGUGCCCCUGCAGUGAGGGCCCAGGCCCCUCCAGUGAGGGCCCCGGGGGCCUCUAGGUAUUGAACAUGGAAAAUACCAAAAACGGCUUUGAAAGAGUACCACUUUUAAUGCUUUCUUUUCCUCUCCAUCCCAUUGGCUGAGAGUGGCCGCAUGUCUGCACGCCUGUGUAUGUUUUGUCUACUGAGCCAUUUGAAUAGUCUCUUCUCUGCCAGUUCAUUUGGUGGUUUUUGUUCCUUUCUUUUAUCAGUUUUUCUUAUUUUUUUUGACCUGUAUUCGUGAAUGUAUUUUCUUUUCGAUGUGAUUGUUUGAGGCGUUGUGUGGUCUUAAUGUAUCAAAUGUGAAUGAUGCUGGUUGUGUCCGUAGUGUUGAGGUCCCAGAGCGAAGGCCCCCCCCCUAACCAUGUCCCCAUGUGUGGACGGACUGGGAUUUCAUGCUGUGCAAAAUAACCAAAUCAAUGUCCAUCGGUUCCCGUGCCGAAGCUGAUCUUAUUGACCUCGCUUCCCUCGUUCGGCCUGUUUUCCAACACUGUUUUUAUUCCUUUAAGUCCUGUGAUCCUCUUGCUUCUAACUUGAGUUCUUUAAGUAAAAGCUUAAGGUAAAUCUUUGUUUUUUACGCUGGUUAAUAACCUCACCAAGUUGCAUUUUCUUUAGCCUCAAGCGCAAACCGAUAGACUUUCAUGCUGGUGUCUGGUUGAACCAGCCUUACUUUAGCCACGUAAUGCCUUACAAACACAUGAUGGACUUCUAUGUACUGUUUGGUUUGUUGAUUAAAACACACACACACGCACACACACACACACACACACAGAUACACACACACACACACACAGGUACAGACACACAUACACACACACAGAGGUACACACACACACACACGGAGUGACACACACACACACACAGGUACACGCACACAGUGGUACACACACAGGUACACACACACACACACACACACACACACACACACACACACACACACACACACACACACACACACACAGACGCACACACACAGGUACAGACGCACACACACAGAGAGGUACACGCACACGCACAGAUGCACACACACACACACAGGUACACGCACACACACGGAGGUACACGCACGCACACACACACACACACACACAGGUACACAAACAGAGGUACCUUAGUUAAAUAGGUAAGACUACUGACUGAACUCUGGCCGGCUGAAUGGGAUGCACCAAUACCACUUCUUUCAGACGCUGGCCAUGUCAUUUGGUUAGUUGCUUAUACAGAUCUACCAAUACAAGUACUUAAUAAUUGCAUUACAGUUCUUACAAUGACUAUGGUAACAUGUUUUAUUUUCACCAGAUGUUCCUCACUUUCUGACUGUAACAAAUUAAAUUUACAACAUGAAGCUGA
ensembl:lncRNA